UUGUAGAUCAAAUUUCUCAAAGUCCGUUAUUUUCAAUAUAUUUAUCAAAAUCAAGUUGUUUUGAAGUCGUCUUUUCAUAACAAAAAUUUAGAGUCGAAAUUGUAUUUGAUCAUACGAAUUAAAAAAAAUAAAUAAAUAAAAUUGAGUAAUGUAAUAGAAACAUGAAUUUAUUAAAAUCGUGUACUUAAAAUCCGAUUUUAAUGAAGUAAUGUGUGCAAAUCACGACUUGAAGCUAGUUCGGUUGCAUAAAACUACACGAUUUUCAAAGCUUUGAGCUUGGAAUUUCAAGCUUGAAGAGAGCACCCCCAGGUCUUGACCCCCAAAACAACCCUUAAAAAAGGUUGAUUGAUCUCUUAUUAGUUCUUCACUUCAAUUUACAAUUCAACCAAGCUCAAUAUUAUUAGCAACUCGGAUUUUUUUGAACAGAAACAAACAGACACAGAUUGCGAUAUGGAGAUUGAUCAUUUUAGCCAUAAACAUCCAUUGAUCUUGUUGGAAGACCUCAAUGAAAACAGAGUCAAAAUCCACUGCUAUGGCUGUCAACAACCAAUUUCAGGUACACCUUCCUACAAAUGUUCCCAAUGUUCCUAUUUCUCAUUGCACAAAGACUGUGCCCAACUUCCUCAUCAAACAAACCACCCUUUACACCUCCACCACCCUCUCACUCUCCUCCCAUCUCCUCCGUACCCUCGCAACGAUUGCAGUGCUUGUCGACGACCUUGCAAUGGCUUCACUUACAAUUGUUCCAUUUGCGAUUUCAAUCUUGACUUGAUGUGUGCGUUUUUGGUUCAGAAGAUCGAACUCAAUUUUCACGAACACCCUUUGAUUCCAAUUCAAAGGCCAGCCUUGUUCUUGUGCGAUGCUUGUGGAAUUAAACACGAAGGUUCGUCGUAUCAGUGUGGGACUUGUCAAUUCUGGGUUAAUCAGAAAUGUGCUUCGUUAAUGGGUACAAUUAAACACAGUGAUCACGAUCAUUUUCUAUCUCUUACCUAUUCUCUUCCGUACGAAGAUUAUAGAUUCAAAUCAUACUGUGACAUUUGUUCUAAGAAAGUGAACAGAGCGAACUGGGUUUAUUGUUGUGCUGAAUGCAAGUAUUGUGCUCAUGUGAAUUGCGCCACAUCGAAAUCGAAGCUGUCUCGGGAUCAUAAAAUAAGACACAUUGACCAAAAAAUAGAGGCCAAAGAACUUGAGGGCAAUCUGAUUUGCUUGCCAUUGACUGAUGAAUCUGUUAAUGGGAUUCCCAAUUUUACGAAGCCAGCACAGAUGUAUCAUGUUUGUCAUCCCCAUCCAUUAUAUUUUGCUGAUAUGCAGAUCAAUGAUGGAUCAUAUUCCGAGAGUAAAUUGCUGGUUUGUGAUGGGUGUUCAAAACCCAUCUCAGCUCCAUUAUACCGUUGCACUGAGUGCAACUCCUCUCUCCAUGAGUGUUGUGCUAAGUUACCCAUUGAAGUGCGACAUCCACUUCACCUCCAACACCCACUCAUCUUGAAUAGAUGGCGGUCUGGAUAUUCUGAUCCCCCCUCGUGCCAAAGUUGCAAAAUGCGUUGCAAUGGGGUUUUGUUCAGUUGUUUAGCCUGCAAUUUCUUCCUAGACAUUGAGUGUGCUCUCCUGCAAGGUCUUAUUGUACAUGAAGCUCAUGAACACACCCUUGCUCUAAGGAAAAUUUCGAAUGUUCAGUGUGCUGUAUGUGAGUAUACGUGUUCCGGGGUUGCGUUUGUUUGUGGAAAUUGCAAUUUCAAUAUACACUUGCGAUGUGCCUUUUUGCCACGCACAGUUAGGCACAAAUGUGAUGAACACCCCCUCACCCUAGCCUACUCUGCUGUCAAAGACAAUUCAAAUGAGUAUUACUGUGAAAUAUGCGAGGAACAGCUAAACACAAAAUUCUGGUUCUAUCACUGUGGUGAUUGUAAUCAAUCUCUUCAGAUACAAUGCAUCCGUAAAGCUGAUUUGCAGGGCAGCUCCCUUUUUAUUUUCAAACAUGAAGCCCAUAUGCACACCCUUGCUCUCGAGGCAACAUUGGAUUUCCGGUGCAGUGGAUGUAAUUAUAAUUGUUCUGGAGUUGCGCUCAUAUGUGACAUUUGCGAUUUCAAGUUAGACACACGGGGUGCCUUCUUGCUGCGUACAGUUAGGCACAGAUAUGACAAACACCCUUACAACCUAACCUAUUCUGGCAAUCCAGAAGAGUAUUAUUGUGACAUUUGUGAGGGUGAAAUAAACCCACAGUGUUGGUUCUAUCACUGCAGUGUUUGUGACCAGUCUCUUCAUACAAUAUGCGUCCAAGUUGAUGAAUACUCAGCUAUCAAGAUUGGGGAUGAGCUCAAUGUUGGAGGCCACCCACACCUUCUUACUUAUGUUCGAUACCAUAAGGAUAUCUCCCCAUGCAACCGUUGUGGUGAACUUGUCAAAGGUUCAGGCUUUGAAUGUGCACCUUGUAAUUUUAGGCUCCACAUACCUUGUGCUCGUAAUGCAGCAAAUGAGAGAAUGUUGUCGCUACAACAAGAACGUGAAGUAGCGAUACUGGAUUAAAUGGCCUCUUUUCUGCAUUUUAUUAUCAGACAUUUAUGCAUCUAAGGGAAGGUGGAAGGAUGUUGAGAGGAAACUGGUAAAUGAGAAAAGGACUAGAAAACCAUUUGGUUGCUGUUGGAUCAAAGGUGAAGGUAUGUUGGCAGAUUUUUGUUCAAGAUAGGCCUCGUGAGUCAUGAAAACUGAGGAGAUAUAUGAGACCCAUCAAGCUCUUGUGAAUCAUUUGAAGGCUGAAGAGUAAGUACCAAAAUUUGAUUUUGUGCUCAGGAACAUUGAUGGUAUGCAAUGUUUUCCUCAGCAAAUUGCUUCUUGCUUCAAGCUUCAUAGGACUCUAUGCCAUCAAGAUUGAAUUUCAUCAUUUAGCAGCCUUGCAGUUGAUGAGGACCUAGAAGAGUGGUAGAUAGAUGCUUUCAUCUAAAAUGCAGCAUCUUAUGAUCACUGGUGGAUGGAUCAUGCUUUCACAGUACAGCGUUUUUACUAUUUAUCUGUUGGAUGAAAAUUUGACAGCAGUGUAGUUCCUCUUUUCAUUUUGGACUUGAGGAUUGAAUUGGAAUACAAAAGGAGGAAGUGGUGUUAUAUGCAUUCUCUAUUGCAGCUAUAUAGAGCCUACAUGGGAUGAACUUCAAGUAAGGUUUGGUCAUCUCUAGUUUUUUUUUUUUUUUUUAUUAUUAUUAUUAUUUCUGGCAUACUUGUGGGGUUGGUUGUAUGACCAUUUUUGUUAAAAUUAAGUAUGCUGAUUAAUAUAUUAAUCUCAAAAUUCAUUUAUGAUAAAGUGAGAUUGUUGAGUUCCCUCUAUGACUCUGCUGAGUUUGGCAUCCGUUGUUGAAUCUACUCGGUCAGGAUUAUGUAUUACUCGGGAUUGUUUAGUCAGGUUAAAGCUUGCAUAUGAGGUUUUGUAGACUAAGUUGCAAAUUUAUUAACAUGUUCUUAGAAUAACAGGUUAGUCCCUGUCUCUGAGCUUGGCCUUGCUGAUGUAGUUUGUCAUUUAUUGAAACUUCAAAUGACAGCUGGCCUUAACUGUUGACCUUCCAAUGUAUAAAAAAUGAUAAUAUAGUAAUCAAAAUGAUGAAACAUUUUAAAUGUUUGAGAAUCUUACUUUGUGUUAGCCUUCUUGUGAAGCCAACAUUUUCCUCUCCGCUGUAUUUUAAUGUGAGAAAAUUAACUUGAUUGAUAUUAUUAUAUGAGAGUGAAC